rnacentral:rRNA from 1 species
CCUACGGGGGGCUGCAGUGAGGUAUAUUGGUCAAUGGGCGCGAGCCUGAACCAGCCAAGUCGCGUGAGGGAAGACGGUCCUAUGGAUUGUAAACCUCUUUUGUCGGGGAGCAAAAGACGCCACGCGUGGCGUUCCGCGAGUACCCGACGACAAAGCAUCGGCUAACUCCGUGCCAGCAGCCGCGGUAAUACGGAGGAUUCGAGCGUUAUCCGGAUUUAUUGGGUUAAAAGGGUGCGCAGGCGGAAGAUCAAGUCAGCGGUAAAAUUGAGAGGCUCAACCUCUUCGAGCCGGUGAAACUGGUUUUCUUGAGUGAGUGAGAAGUAUGCGGAAUGCGUGGUGUAGCGGUGAAAUGCAUAGAUAUCACGCAGAACUCCGAUUGCGAAGGCAGCAUACCGGCGCUCAACUGACGCUCAUGCACGAAAGUGUGGGUAUCGAACAGGAUUAGAUACCCUAGUAGUC